CCUACGGGAGGCAGCAGUGAGGAAUAUUGGUCAAUGGACGAGAGUCUGAACCAGCCAAGUAGCGUGAAGGAUGACUGCCCUCUGGGUUGUAAACUUCUUUUAUAUGGGAAUAAAAUGUUCCACGUGUGGGUUUUAGUAUGUACCAUAUGAGUAAGAGUCGGGUAACUUCGUUCCAGAAGCGUCUGUAAGACGGAGGAUCCGAGCGUUAUACGGAUUUUUUUGGUUUAAAGGGAGCGUAGGUGGAUUGUUAAGUCAGUUGUGAAAGUUUGCGGCUCAACCGUAAAAUUGCAGUUGAAACUGGCAGUCGUGAGUACAGUAGGGGUGGGCGGAAUUCGUGGUGUAGCGGUGAAAUGCUUAGAUAUCACGAAGAACUCCGAUUGCGAAGGCAGUUCACUGGACUGCAACUGACACUGAGGCUCGAAAGUGUGGGUAUCAAACAGGAUUAGAUACCCUAGUAGUC
rnacentral:rRNA from 1 species